ensembl:snoRNA
AUUCUUUUGUAGUUCAUAAGUGUGAUGAUUGGGUUUUCAUGUGCAUGUGUGAGACGUGCCUCCCACCAAUCUUGUUCUAAUGUUGGCACAUUCCCUAUUGUGAAA